CGCAUGGGUAAUAAUUCUAUUCAGGUAAUAUUUAAUAGUAAUGUGGUCUUCAUAUGGUUAGUUUGAUGAGUUAAUUUCAUUAACUUUGUUCAUUAUAUGGUUAAUUGUUGUUAUGUGUACUUGGUUUGCUUCGCAAUGUAGUCGGGUGGUACUGUUUACACUUCCCAAGGUGAAUCACAACCUCAUUUCGUCAUGGGUGGUAAUUCUAUUCAGUCGAGUGCUGCUAUUUAUACUUGCCAAGGUCAAUCACAAUCGCGUUUCAUCAUGGGUAGUAAUUCUAAUCAGGAUCAUGGUCUUGGUGUAAAUUUUUCUCAAUCACAACCUCGUUUC